rnacentral:rRNA from 1 species
GUUAGUCGCGGUCGAGAGGGGGUGGCAAUACGAGGGGUGCGAGGGUUAAGCGGGAAUACUGGGGGUAAUGCUGGCGCAGGCGGUUUGUUAAGCUAGAUGAGAAAGCCCUGGGCGCAACCUAGGAAUAUCAUUUCGAACUUGCGAACUAGAGUCUUGUAGAGGGGGGUAGAAUUCCAGGUGUAGCGGUGAAAUGCGUAGAGAUCUGGAGGAAUACCGGUUGCGAAGGCGGCCCCCUGGACAAAGACUGACGCUCAUGCACGAAAGCGUGGGGAGCAAACAGGAUUAGAUACCCGAGUAGUC